GGAUGAAGGAACAUAGCACAUCGUUGCUGAAUUUGGAGGUUUACUCAUCAACAAGGGAAGGGGAAACAAGCAGUACCAAAGCUGGGACAACUUUGAGAUGCGGGUGCACAAGAGGGUGAUCGACCUUGUCAGCUCCUUGGACGUUCUCAAGCAGAUCACCAUUGAGAGGUUGAGAUGACCAUUAACAACGAGUAACUGUUGUGAAGGUAGUCAAGGACAUGCAGAUGUUGGUGAUGGGCUCUGUUAGGAUGCCCACGUAGGUGCUCAACAUCACCACCGGGAAGUCCCCCUGUGGCGCAAGGUGAGCUGGAAGUGGUGGUGCACCGCCUUGCUUAUGGCGCCAAUGAGAUGGCGGGGUUGUUGCCCCGUGACGUCGGCGUCAGCUCCCACGACUCCAUCACCAGCUACCACUACGUGGGGCACCUGUGCACAAGGAUUCCUGGUUCCAGCUACUCGGGGCACUUGUGAACGUAUUGGAUUACUGGUGCGUUAUACAAACAGCGG